rnacentral:lncRNA from 1 species
CGUUGUCAUAUAUAUCCUUAUUCCUUCAAGUCAAGAUAGGAACUGCAUUAAGUAAUGGCAACAAGAUUUACAUGUCUACUCAACAACCCAGCAUAGCCGUUUUCUUAGCUACUCUCCACAAGUCAAAAUCAUGCUUACACAUUAGAAACUUUUUAAUCAAGUCUGUAGGUCCAUAUAAAAAAGGGCACGUUUUUGUUUUGAGUUAGUGUAACCAUAUGAUUUAAGAAUUUCUGUAAACCUCUACAUUGCCACAGAGAAUUUACUGGCAUCAUCUUGUUUUCUUGUUUUUAUAUCAGAAUGCUAUUGUAGAACAUCUAACUGUGGGUCUUGUUUUUUUUUUCUUGCAGGGUUUUGUCUGUUUUCAUGGAUUGUUUUUCAGAGUACGUGAAUGAUUUAAAGAUAAUACAGGCACUGCUAUUGUUCAUUUCAAGACUUCUCCCACCUGGAUUGGAAGUGGGAAAGUUUUGGCAGUUAUUGCCACUGAUGGCUUAUAGUCUUCAGCCUGACAAUCAUCCAGGAAACUGCUGGCCCUUCCCACAAAGUCAAGGACAUAUCUUCAUCAAGUUGCUUGUAGCCAUCUUUCCCACAGCAGUUACGAUAAACCACGGAAUUCCAGCAACAGCACACCAUGCAGACAGCAUCUCCAGUGCUCUGGCUUCAUCAGUUACAUAAGGCUGCAACUGCUGAGCAACCAGGGCCACCUAGAGUACAUCUGUGUGUAUCAUGAAGGUACUCUACCAUGACAGUAAUGCUACGGGAAAGCUAUCUGGUUUACUUCAGAAUAAAUAACUUUUCCCAUGUGGAAUCUCUUUUGUA